AUUGAACGCUGGCGGCAGGCCUAACACAUGCAAGUCGAGCGGCAGCGGGAAAGUAGCUUGCUACUUUUGCCGGCGAGCGGCGGACGGGUGAGUAAUGCCUGGGAAAUUGCCCAGUCGAGGGGGAUAACAGUUGGAAACGACUGCUAAUACCGCAUACGCCCUACGGGGGAAAGCAGGGGACCUUCGGGCCUUGCGCGAGUGGACAUGCACAGGUGGGAUUAGCUAGUUGGUGAGGUAAUGGCUCACCAAGGCGACGAUCCCUAGCUGGUCUGAGAGGAUGAUCAGCCACACUGGAACUGAGACACGGUCCAGACUCCUACGGGAGGCAGCAGUGGGGAAUAUUGCACAAUGGGGGAAACCCUGAUGCAGCCAUGCCGCGUGUGUGAAGAAGGCCUUCGGGUUGUAAAGCACUUUCAGCGAGGAGGAAAGGUCAGUAGCUAAUAUCUGCUGGCUGUGACGUUACUCGCAGAAGAAGCACCGGCUAACUCUGUGCCAGCCGCCGCAGUAACAC
rnacentral:rRNA from 1 species